UACGGAGGAUCCAAGCGUUAUCCGGAAUCAUUGGGUUUAAAGGGUCCGUAGGCGGUUUGGUAAGUCAGUGGUGAAAGCCCAUCGCUCAACGGUGGAACGGCCAUUGAUACUGCCAGACUUGAAUUAUUUAGGAAGUAACUAGAAUAUGUAGUGUAGCGGUGAAAUGCUUAGAGAUUACAUGGAAUACCAAUUGCGAAGGCAGUUUACUACUAAUGAUUGACGCUGAUGGACGAAAGCGUGGGUAGCGAACAGG
rnacentral:rRNA from 1 species